GAGCUCGCUUCGGCAGCACAUAUACUAAACUUGGAAUGAUACAGAGAAGAUUAGCAAGGCCCCUGCACAAGGAUAACACACAAAUUCAUGAAGCUUCCAUAUUAAAA